CCUACGGGAGGCAGCAGUGGGGAAUUUUGCACAAUGGGGGGAACCCUGAUGCUGCGACGCCGCGUGAGUGAAGGAGUAUUUCGGUAUGUAAAGCUCUAUCAGCAGGGAAGAAAAUGACGGUACCUGACUAAGAAGCCCCGGCUAACUACGUGCCAGCAGCCGCGGUCAUACGUAGGGGGCAAGCGUUAUCCGGAUUUACUGGGUGGAAAGGGAGCGUAGGCGGCAGAGCAAGUCUGAAGUGAAAGCCCGGGGCUCAACCGCGGGACGGCUUUGGAAACUGCCCGGCUAGAGUGCUGGAGAGGGAAGCGGAAUUCCUAGUGUAGCAGUGAAAUGCGUAGAUAUUAGGAGGAACACCAGUGGCGAAGGCGGGUUACUGGACAGUAACUGACGUUGAGGCUCGAAAGCGUGGGGAGCAAACAGGAUUAGAUACCCGAGUAGUC
rnacentral:rRNA from 1 species